ACUCCUACGGGAGGCAGCAGUGGGGAAUUUUGGACAAUGGGCGAAAGCCUGAUCCAGCAAUGCCGCGUGCAGGAUGAAGGCCUUCGGGUUGUAAACUGCUUUUGUACGGAACGAAAAAGCUUCUCCUAAUACGAGAGGCCCAUGACGGUACCGUAAGAAUAAGCACCGGCUAACUACGUGCCAGCAGCCGCGGUAAUACGUAGGGUGCGAGCGUUAAUCGGAAUUACUGGGCGUAAAGCGUGCGCAGGCGGUUAUGUAAGACAGAUGUGAAAUCCCCGGGCUCAACCUGGGAACUGCAUUUGUGACUGCAUGGCUAGAGUACGGUAGAGGGGGAUGGAAUUCCGCGUGUAGCAGUGAAAUGCGUAGAUAUGCGGAGGAACACCGAUGGCGAAGGCAAUCCCCUGGACCUGUACUGACGCUCAUGCACGAAAGCGUGGGGAGCAAACAGGAUUAGAUACCCUGGUAGGCGU
rnacentral:rRNA from 1 species